GGGGGCGACCUGGUUUCGACGUGGUCGAUCCAUCCGGAUGAGCUGCAAGCCGAGGUCGCCGGUAGGCCUCGUAAAUCAACCGGCACAACGCAAGUGCGACUGACAAGCAGCUCGCACUCGCCGCCUAAGGCAACUUAGGUCAGGCGACGCCCCUCCGGGUUGGGCCCGUGGCCCGGAGGCGGCGCCAACCAACGGGCUCGGCGCCGAGGGAGAGCCAAUCGCCCGGAGCGCGACACCGAAGGAUGGCUAGCGAGUCGGUAGGGCGGCUGCACCCCGGCCGGCGAGCGAAACGAAAGGGCAGCCUACGCUUGUAGACGCUCACCCGGUGCGGCUGCGGACGCGGGUUCGAUUCCCGCCGCCUCCACUG
rnacentral:tmRNA from 1 species